rnacentral:rRNA from 1 species
GGCUUAGGAUGAACGCUAGCGACAGGCCUAACACAUGCAAGUCGAGGGGCAGCACAAGGAGCAAUCUGAGGUGGCGACCGGCGCACGGGUGAGUAACACGUAUGCAACCUGCCUGUAAGCGGGGAAUAACCCGUUGAAAGACGGACUAAUACCGCAUAAUACUAAAUUACUGCAUGGUAAUUUAUUUAAACAUUUAUGGCUUACAGAUGGGCAUGCGCAUGAUUAGCUAGUUGGAGAGGUAACGGCUCCCCAAGGCAACGAUCAUUAGGGGUUCUGAGAGGAAGGUCCCCCACACUGGUACUGAGACACGGACCAGACUCCUACGGGAGGCAGCAGUGAGGAAUAUUGGUCAAUGGACGAGAGUCUGAACCAGCCAAGUCGCGUGCAGGAAGAAUGUCCUUAAUGGAUUGUAAACUGCUUUUGCAGGGGAAUAAAGUGCAUCACGUGUGAUGUUUUGUAUGUACUCUGCGAAUAAGGAUCGGCUAACUCCGUGCCAGCAGCUGC